AUCAUGAAUCGAGAUGAAUCAAAAUUUAUUGAUUAGACUUUUAGUACAGAGCAAGUGGUGGAACUUUAUUUAGUUAUAAACAACGAAUCACUCAGAUUGACAUCUUCCAGCUUUUAGCUCUUGCAUUGGACUGAUAAAGUUUUGAUUUUUCUGUGUAUCAUAAAGAUCAAUAUCCAAACUGGAGAAGAAGAAGCUGCUGUGAAGCUGGUAUAAUUUAUGAGCUCAGUUUUGGUUUCUCAUUUAAAUAAGUGUUUUUUUUUUGCUGAGAAACGUUUCAAUUUUGAGACUUUUUGUUUGAAUUUGAUAGUAUUAGCAAGACUUCAUUGCUGUAGAUGGUCAUGUUUCAUUGUUCCUUUAUUGUUAAUUGAUCUUUUGUUGCAUUUAUGACACACAGGAACCUACGAAGACGAGGCUUCUCAACUACACUAUGAAUCGUAAAUACUAUUAUAGAUGUGGGGAAGAGAGUUGGUUUCUCUGGUCAUUUAUAUGAAUUUUAAUUUUCAACCCACUAUCUCUGCCCUCUGUUGGCUUGACCUUUUUGGGACGAGCUUGGAGACGUACGUAUUCAACCUCUGCAAUCGGAUGUUUACGUUCAAAUCUAUUUUAAUGCUUGCAGAUCAAUUGGUUAAUAUCAUUGAUAUGACUGGUGUAAUCUUAGCCCUAUGCAGUGUUGGUGGUGUGCAGAGUCAGUCUAUUAUAGUCGACAUGCAAAUGAGGAAAUAAGAAGUUGCAAGAAUCUACAGCAAAUGGAGUUUACUCCAGGUAGAAUUCUUUUACUCCCCUCUAUCCUAUGUAGACCUUCUCCUUGAAGAUAUUGUCUUUUAAUUUUCAGGAAGCCUCUUAUUCUGAUAUUUUGGGGUUUGGAAUACAUGUUAUUGUAGGUGUGCAUCCCAACACCAUUUUGAGCAGAAUCAAAAAGAAAAAGCAAAGAACAAUGAUGCGCAGAAGCAGCUGGGAAGAAAAGAAAUCGUAAUAGCUCAGAAAAAUGUAGCUAGAAACAUUUUUCUAGCCUAAACAGGUGCUUUAUGUAUUUCGCUAACGAUCUGGAAUGUUACCAAUAAUAUUUUUAUAUGUUAGUGUAAUCUCAAUAAGAUUCACAAUUGGUUAAGCCUUUGAGGAUCAUAUGUACAACAAGAAAAGAAAAACAAUGCAAAAAUUCCAUGUAUUUUGAUCUGUA